rnacentral:rRNA from 1 species
UACAGAGGCCUCAAGCGUUGUUCGGAAUCACUGGGCGUAAAGGGUGCGUAGGCGGCGCGGAAAGUCAGGGGUGAAAUCCCGGAGCUCAACUCCGGAACUGCCUUUGAUACUCCCGCGCUUGAGAACUGGAGGGGAGAUCGGAAUUCACGGUGGAGCAGUGAAAUGCGUGGAUAUCGUGAGGAACACUAGUGGCGAAGGCGGAUCUCUGGACAGUAUCUGACGCUGAGCACGAAGGCCAGGGGAGCGAACGGG